GACGAACGCUGGCGGCGUGCUUAACACAUGCAAGUCGAACGGAAAGGCCCUGCUUUUGUGGGGUGCUCGUUUGGCGCACGGGUGAGUAACACGCGAGUAACCUGCCCUUGUCUUUGUGAUAACUUCAGGAAACUCGGGCUCAUACCGCAUAGGAGCUCCUGCUGCAUGUUGGGGGUUGGAAAGUUUCGGCGGUUGGGGAUGGUCUCGCGGCUUAUCAGCUUGUUGGUGGGGUAGUGGCUUACCAAGGCUGUGACGGGUAGCCGGCCUGACAGGGUGACCGGCCGCACUGGAAGUGAGACAGGCUCCAGAGGCCUACGGGAGGGACCAGAAGGCAAUCGGCGGCAAUGGGCGGGAGUUUGACGGAACAGGGCGGAGUGAGUGAUGAAGACCUCCGGGUCGGGAAACCCGGCUUUUGGGGUGGAACCAAUUUGCAAGUGACUAAACCCGUCUUGACGGUAACUGGUAAAGAAGCACCGGCUAACUACGUG
rnacentral:rRNA from 1 species